UACAGAGGUCUCAAGCGUUGUUCGGAUUCAUUGGGCGUAAAGGGUGCGUAGGUGGCGCCAUAAGUCAGGUGUGAAAUCUCGGGGCUCAACUCCGAAACUGCACUUGAUACUGUGGUGCUCGAGUACUGGAGAGGAGAUUGGAGUUUACGGUGUAGCAGUGAAAUGCGUAGAUAUCGUAAGGAAGACCAGUGGCGAAGGCGAAUCUCUGGACAGUUACUGACACUGAGGCACGAAGGCCAGGGGAGCAAACGGG
rnacentral:rRNA from 1 species